GUGCUCACUUUAGCAGCAAAUAUUCUAAAAUUGGAAUGAUACAGAGAAGAUUAGCAUGGCCCCUACGCAAAGAUGACACACAGAUUCAUGAAGCAGUCCAUAUUUUU